rnacentral:rRNA from 1 species
UUAUCCGGAUUUACUGGGUGUAAAGGGAGCGUAGACGGUUUUGCAAGUCCGAAGUGAAAGCCCGGGGCUUAACCCCGGGACUGCUUUGGAAACUGUAGGACUAGAGUGCGGGAGAGGUAAGUGGAAUUCCUAGUGUAGCGGUGAAAUGCGUAGAUAUUAGGAGGAACACCAGUGGCGAAGGCGGCUUACUGGACUGUAACUGACGUUGAGGCUCGAAAGCGUGGGGAGCACACACGAUUAGAUACCCUGGUAGUCCACGCCGUAAACGAUGAUUACUAGGUGUUGGUGGGUA